rnacentral:lncRNA from 1 species
GCUAAUUUUUAUAUUAGAGACGGGGUUUUGAACUCCUGGUCUCAAACGCCUGACUUCAAGUGAUCCACCCGCCUCAGCCUCCCAAAGUGCUAGGAUUACAGCUCGUGUUCUUCAGUUGUCUUCCCUACGCUGCUGCCUCGGCAGUCAGUAUCUCCUCAGGAGCAGUCCCACCCGUCCCUUUCUCUUCCACGGCAUCCACACCAUCCGGAUGCCUGGAUUCAAAUGCCACGUCACCACUUGCCAGCUGCAGUGCCUUCGACAAGUUUCUCAAUCACUGUGCCUCAGCGUCCUCCUCUGUAAAACGGGGAAUGAUGGUAGUGCCCACCUCAUAAGCUUGUGAGGAUUAAGUGAGAGUCUAUCCAGUGUUUAGGAGUGUCUGGCAUAAAGGGCCUAGUGUUA